GAAGGCUGAGCCUGACAGGAACAAGAUCUGAGGCCUCCGGCAUAAUCUAUAACAGAGCAGUUAAUACCCCACUCCCUGCCAACUCAAUGCCACUGCCAAUCUCAGAAGCCAUUUUUCAAAUUGCUUCUUGGCCAGCUCAGCAUAAUGACUACAUGACAGCUUUACUUUGAGAGGACAAUAGAAAAAGGCGGUUUCCCAGAGAGCCUCCAGCUGGCAGGGAAGCAGUGGACUUCACUGAGGCCGCCACGCCAUGAGGGAGCCCAACCUAGCCCGUGUGGAGAGCCCAUAAAGAGAGUUACAGAUGCUCCAACCCCACCCCCCACAGUCACUGUCUGACUGCAACCUCAUCAGAGUUGGGAACCAGAAUCACCCAGAACCUAAUGCAGUAAGCAUGAACUGAUGUGAGAAUCACAAGGCAACCCGUGUCAUCACAGAAAAGAACAGCAGGACUAGUUAUCUUUCUGCAGGUUAUACUUGGGAAGCCGGAGUGAGGGGUUGGGUUAUAUAGAAUAUCUUAUCUAAAUAGUGCAGCAGAAAGAGCCACAGUCAGCAUCCAGUCAGAAAGAGCUUAGCUGGCCAUGUGCUAGUUUAUGACAUUCUUUCCUUUAUUUAAAAGUUGGAAAUAUUACAAAAUUAAUGAUCUAGUUACUGCCAUUAAAAAUCCACCAGCAUAGGGGCUGGCCCCGUGGCUGAGUGGUUGGGUUUGCGCACUCCGCUGCAGGUGGCCCAGUGCUUCAUCGGUUCGAAUCCUGGGCGCGGACA